rnacentral:rRNA from 1 species
AUUGAACGCUGGCGGCAGGCUUAACACAUGCAAGUCGAACGGUAACAUAAGAAAAGCUUGCUUUUUUUGAUGACGAGUGGCGGACGGGUGAGUAAUGCUUGGGAAUCUGCCUUAUGGAGGGGGAUAACUACGGGAAAACUGUAGCUAAUACCGCAUAAUAUCUACGGAUUAAAGUGUGGGAUCUUCGGACCACAUGCCAUAAGAUGAGCCCAAGUGAGAUUAGGUAGUUGGUGAGGUAAAGGCUCACCAAGCUGACGAUCUCUAGCUGGUUUGAGAGGAUGACCAGCCACACUGGGACUGAGACACGGCCCAGACUCCUACGGGAGGCAGCAGUGGGGAAUAUUGCACAAUGGGCGCAAGCCUGAUGCAGCCAUGCCGCGUGAAUGAAGAAGGCUUUCGGGUUGUAAAGUUCUUUCAUUAGUGAGAAAGGUAUAAAUGUUAAUAGCAUUUGUAAUUGAUGUUAGCUAAAGAAGAAGCACCGGCUAACUCCGUGCCAGCAGCCGCGGUAAUACGGAGGGUGCGAGCGUUAAUCGGAAUAACUGGGCGUAAAGGGCAUGCAGGCGGUUACUUAAGUCAGAUGUGAAAGCCCCGAGCUUAACUUGGGAAUUGCAUUUGAAACUGGGUGACUAGAGUCCUCUAGGGAGGGGUAGAAUUCCACGUGUAGCGGUGAAAUGCGUAGAGAUGUGGAGGAAUACCGAAGGCGAAGGCAGCCCCUUGGAGAGAGACUGACGCUCAUAUGCGAAAGCGUGGGUAGCAAACAGG